GACGAACGCUGGCGGCGUGCUUAACACAUGCAAGUCGAACGGAAAGGCCCUGCUUUUGUGGGGUGCUCGAGUGGCGAACGGGUGAGUAACACGUGAGUAACCUGCCCUUGACUUUGGGAUAACUUCAGGAAACUGGGGCUAAUACCGGAUAGGAGCUCCUGCUGCAUGGUGGGGGUUGGAAAGUUUCGGCGGUUGGGGAUGGACUCGCGGCUUAUCAGCUUGUUGGUGGGGUAGUGGCUUACCAAGGCUUUGACGGGUAGCCGGCCUGAGAGGGUGACCGGCCACAUUGGGACUGAGAUACGGCCCAGACCCCUACGGGAGGCAGCAGUGGGGAAUAUUGCACAAUGGGCGGAAGCCUGAUGCAGCAACGCCGCGUGCGGGAUGACGGCCUUCGGGUUGUAAACCGCUUUCGCCUGUGACGAAGCGUGAGUGACGGUAAUGGGUAAAGAAGCACCGGCUAACUACGUGCCAGCAGCCGCGGUGAUACGUAGGGUGCGAGCGUUGUCCGGAUUUAUUGGGCGUAAAGGGCUCGUAGGUGGUUGAUCGCGUCGGAAGUGUAAUCUUGGGGCUUAACCCUGAGCGUGCUUUCGAUACGGGUUGACUUGAGGAAGGUAGGGGAGAAUGGAAUUCCUGGUGGAGCGGUGGAAUGCGCAGAUAUCAGGAGGAACACCAGUGGCGAAGGCGGUUCUCUGGGCCUUUCCUGACGCUGAGGAGCGAAAGCGUGGGGAGCGAACAGGCUUAGAUACCCUGGUAGUCCACGCUGUAAACGGUGGGUACUAGGUGUGGGGUCCAUUCCACGGGUUCCGUGCCGUAGCUAACGCUUUAAGUACCCCGCCUGGGGAGUACGGCCGCAAGGCUAAAACUCAAAGGAAUUGACGGGGCCCCGCACAAGCGGCGGAGCAUGCGGAUUAAUUCGAUGCAACGCGUAGAACCUUACCUGGGUUUGACAUGGAUCGGGAGUGCUCAGAGAUGGGUGUGCCUCUUUUGGGGUCGGUUCACAGGUGGUGCAUGGCUGUCGUCAGCUCGUGUCGUGAGAUGUUGGGUUAAGUCCCGCAACGAGCGCAACCCUUGUUCACUGUUGCCAGCACGUUAUGGUGGGGACUCAGUGGAGACCGCCGGGGUCAACUCGGAGGAAGGUGGGGAUGACGUCAAGUCAUCAUGCCCCUUAUGUCCAGGGCUUCACGCAUGCUACAAUGGCUGGUACAGAGAGUGGCGAGCCUGUGAGGGUGAGCGAAUCUCGGAAAGCCGGUCUCAGUUCGGAUUGGGGUCUGCAACUCGACCUCAUGAAGUCGGAGUCGCUAGUAAUCGCAGAUCAGCAACGCUGCGGUGAAUACGUUCCCGGG
rnacentral:rRNA from 1 species